AUUGAACGCUGGCGGCAUGCCUUACACAUGCAAGUCGAACGGUAACAGGUCUUCGGACGCUGACGAGUGGCGAACGGGUGAGUAAUGCAUCGGAACGUGCCCAGUCGUGGGGGAUAACUGCUCGAAAGAGCAGCUAAUACCGCAUACGACCUGAGGGUGAAAGCGGGGGACCGUAAGGCCUCGCGCGAUUGGAGCGGCCGAUGUCAGAUUAGCUAGUUGGUGGGGUAAAGGCCUACCAAGGCAACGAUCUGUAGUUGGUCUGAGAGGACGACCAGCCACACUGGAACUGAGACACGGCCCAGACUCCUACGGGAGGCAGCAGUGGGGAAUUUUGGACAAUGGGCGCAAGCCUGAUCCAGCAAUGCCGCGUGCAGGAAGAAGGCCUUCGGGUUGUAAACUGCUUUUGUCAGGGAAGAAAUAUUCUGGGCUAAUACCCCGGGAGGAUGACGGUACCUGAAGAAUAAGCACCGGCUAACUACGUG
rnacentral:rRNA from 1 species